UACGGGGGGGGCAAGCGUUGUUCGGAAUUACUGGGCGUAAAGGGCUCGUAGGCGGCCAACUAAGUCGGACGUGAAAUCCCCAGGCUCAACCUGGGAACUGCGUCCGAUACUGGAUGGCUUGAAUCCGGGAGAGGGAUGUGGAAUUCCAGGUGUAGCGGUGAAAUGCGUAGAUAUCUGGAGGAACACCGGUGGCGAAGGCGGCAUCCUGGACCGGUAUUGACGCUGAGGCGCGAAAGCUAGGGGAGCAAACGGG
rnacentral:rRNA from 1 species